AAGUCGUAACAAGGUUUCCGUAGGUGAACCUGCGGAAGGAUCAUUAACACGUAUCCAAACGUUUAAAAAAAAAAAGAAAACCCCCCUGUGAACAUUUGCUUGCUCUUGCAGCCCGCCUGGCUAGAAAAUCCCUGGUAAAUCAUCGCUGAACUAGUUUUGUGGGCGUUCGUGCCCCCCAGGAUUACCCCGCUACCAGUCGAAACGACCAACCUGCGCAACCAUUACGUGUUGAGCCCGUGGGCGUCGUAAACCGAAAUACUUGAACAACUGUUAACAAUGGAUAUCUUGGUUCUC
rnacentral:misc_RNA from 1 species